AAAUUUGGCCAAAGUUUUAAGGUCAGGAGGCAGAUACUGUAAACAAGGCCAGGUGCUUUCCAUCAUGUCCAUGGAGGUAGAGGAGAAGGUAAAGACUUCAAAGGAUUCAGAAAAGUGGCUACAGCUGUGAGUGAUCUGACUCACCAGGAAGUGCACAGUCUUUGAGGUAAUAUAUAGUGGGAAAGGUGACUUAGAACCCUCUUAGUCCCUGGUAAACCUAGGCCUGAAAGAAGAGGGAGAAUACAGAGCUGCAAGAUGUGUGUAACAUAUCUAGUCAUGGUUUAACAGGACAUGGGAUUCAAAUUUCCUAAGGGAGGACAGGAGAAGAAUGGAAUGGAAAAUGCGGUUGAUGGCAAGAGAGUCUUCCCACUAUCCAAACUGAGCAAUGAAGUUUAGUGAAAUCUGACUGGAAAAUGAACUUUCAUAGAGGCAGUGUACUCGAAAUGAAUGUGGUGGUGAUGUUUAUGCAAAGCUAUCACAUAUGAGGAUAUUGCCAGAUCUAAAAACUAAGCAUGGAAAAGAAGCAGUGUAACCCUCCAGACAGCAAAUAGUGUCAGUCUGGCACAGCAGCUAAUGUUUCUUACAACAGGAAUGAAAGCUGCCACUGUGUGCUGACUCACAGCAUGUGACAUUGUCAUUUUAAAUCUUUGUUUUCAUCCAUCUGUUUUUUUCUGAAAUUUUCAAAAAUGAAUUUCUUAAUGGUGGCUAUGUGCCAGAAGGGUUUGACAAUGUUGUGGAGAAGCUUUCAAGUGUUUUUGGACUAUGUCAUCAUUCACCUAGGGGUUGUACUCAAGAAAGCAGAAGAAAUAGAGUAAUAGUUUAAAGGAAGAUAACAAAAGGUGAAGUCAAGCUGGAAGGCCAUCAGCCUACCUGAGAGAAAUGGGAAGAGACAGUGUCAGCUGAGAGGCAAGGGACAGACCUGUGGGGCUGAAUUACCCUUUCCUUCACCUGGUGUGGUUCAGAGCUUACUGCUUUUCUACCAGAUUCCUCACAAGAAACACAUCUUUCUCUCAGUACACAGCCAGGCUGCCCAAAGGCUGCUAAGCCAGAACCUCAAAUAUGAUAUAGCCAUUGGUCUUUUCUGGGUUUCUCCUAGAAAUGGCUUGCAUUACAGAACAUUUUCCAGCAUAAAAACAAAUGGAUCCCUGAGAGAAGUCACCUCCUGAGUCAUUUCUCAACAUCCUACAGCAGAAGGUGGAAGCCAGGAGCUCAUGUACAAUUUCUCAGAGGAAAAAAAAAGUAUAGAUUAGAAAUCAGACCAAGCAAUUUAAAAGCUUUGAGAGACCCUUCUUCUCUUCCUGAGGAAGCAGUGUGAAUAGUCAAGAACCAAAGCCAAUUUAGGGUUUUCUAUAUGUGUAUAUAUCCUUUUAUCUUGUGUGCUUCAAACUUUACAGACAUCUUCAGCCUUGGCUUGACAGUUCUCCUGUGAAACAUCAAAUGUAUUUGCUUAACUUGGAGGAAACUGGUAGCAUGUUAUUCAUCUGCUUUGUAUUUAAAGGCUAGUUUAAACCUUCUGGAGGUACUUUUCAUCUCACCAUUUAUUCAUACAUGAAUAGUGAAUUUAAAUAAUUCAUUUUGAGCUGCUUCUGCAAAGGUAUUACUUCAGUUCAAACUCUGUCCUGUUAAUUACCUUCUCAUUCUGCACAUCAUGAAGCUCUGGGUUGAUGGUAAUUCUCUUGAUCCUCGUGAAAGUAAUAAGAGUGCUCUACCAGAAAAGUUUUCAAAUGUGGACACUUUGCUGGCCCAGGAGAAUCUGCAUUUUGCAGAUAAUAUUUUAACUUAUGAUAGUUCCUGGUUUGGAGCUAAACUGCUGGGUGAAAAUGCACUUAUUAAAAUGCUAACUGAGUGUCUCCUC